rnacentral:tRNA from 1 species
GCCGCGAUCGCGUAAUCUGGUAUCGCACAAGCCUGGAAAGCUUGGCCCUCCGGGGCAUCCCGGUUCAAAUCCGGGUCGCGGCG